rnacentral:rRNA from 1 species
UAACGAAUCUUCCGCAAUGCGCGAAAGCGUGACGGGGCAAUGCCGCGUGCAGGAUGAAGCCCUUCGGGGUGUAAACUGCUGCAGGGGGCAGGCCAUACCCAAAGGAAGCACCGGCUAACUCUGUGCUAGCAGCCGCGGUAAUACAGAGGGUGCGAGCGUUAAUCGGAAUCACUGGGCUUAAAGCGUUCGUAGGCGGACCUGUAGGCGCGUUGUGAAAGCCCCCGGCUCAACCGGGGAACUGCUUCGCGAACCACAGGUCUUGAGUCAAGUAGGGGCGAUCGGAACGAUAGGUGGAGCGGUGAAAUGCGUAGAUAUCUAUCGGAACGCCGAAGGUGAAGACAGGUCGCUGGGCUUGUACUGACGCUGAGGAACGAAAGCGUGGGGAGCAAACGGGAUUAGAUACCCUAGUAGU